AUGUCUUAAAUGUCUUCCACGGAUAGGCUGAUCAAUGGACUAAUUCAAAACAAUGCACAAUACAGCCAUCAACUUUACACAUAGCACUAGUUAUCCCACCUUGUAGUUCAUAGUAGAAUUCUAAAACCCUUAUUUAUGUUACUACUCAAAAAUAUAAAUUCGAAACAAUGGCGUUGCAAACCAUGCAGUGAAGUAAAAAGGUCGAUAAUACCG
rnacentral:misc_RNA from 1 species